UGGCUCAGGACGAACGCUGGCGGCGUGCUUAAUACAUGCAAGUCAAGGAGAAAAGAUAUCUUCGGACGUCUGAGUAAACUGGCGAACGGGUGAGUAACACGUAGGUAACCUGCCCUCGAGACUGGGAUAACAUCGCCAACGCGAUGCUAAUACCGGAUAAAGCACAGGAUUCGCAUGGAUUUUGUGUUAAGGUUGGCUUCGGCUUGCACUUGAGGAUGGACCUGCGCCCCAUUAGUUAGUUGGUGAGGUAACGGCUCACCAAAACUGCGAUGGGUAGCCGGCCUGAGAGGGUGAUCGGCCACACUGGGACUGAGAUACGGCCCAGACUUCUACGGAAGGCAGCAGUAAGGAAUAUUGCGCAAUGGUCGAAAGACUGACGCAGCAACGCCGCGUGCAGGAUGAAGCUUCUAGGAGUGUAAACUGCUUUUAGUUGGGAAGAACAGACAGGUUUCGAAUAGGGACUUGUUUUGACGGUACCUUUAGAAAAAGCCCCGGCUAGCUCCGUGCCAGCAGCCGCGGUAACACGGGGGGGGCAAGCGUUGUCCGGAAUUAUUGGGCGUAAAGGGCGCGCAGGCGGGAUGAUCAGUCUGAGGUGAAAUCUUUUGGCUUAACCGAAAGCUUGCCUUGGAUACUGUCAUUCUUGAGUUCGGAAGAGGGAAGUGGAAUUCCUGGUGUAGCGGUGAAAUGCGUAGAUAUCAGGAAGAACACCGGUGGCGAAGGCGGCUUCCUGGUCCGAUACUGACGCUGAGGCGCGAAAGCGUGGGGAGCGAACAGGAUUAGAUACCCUGGUAGUCCACGCUGUAAACGAUGGGUACUAGGUGUUGGUCCUUUUUAGGAUCAGCGCCGCAGCUAACGCAUUAAGUACCCCGCCUGGGGAAUACGACCGCAAGGUUGAAACUCAAAGGAAUUGACGGGGGCCCGCACAAGCGGUGGAGCAUGUGGUUUAAUUCGAUGCAACGCGAAGAACCUUACCUGGGCUUGAACCGUAGUCGAAAACCCCUGAAAAGGGGUCCUCCUUCGGGACGGCUAUAGAGGUGCUGCAUGGCUGUCGUCAGCUCGUGCCGUGAGGUGUUGGGUUAAGUCCCGCAACGAGCGCAACCCUUGCCCUUAGUUGCCAUCAGGUUAUGCUGGGAACUCUAAGGGGACUGCCCCGGAUAACGGGGAGGAAGGUGGGGAUGACGUCAAGU
rnacentral:rRNA from 1 species